CAAGGAUCAUAAAACACUGGUCAGGGGCACCCGGUUGGCUCUGUUGGUGGAACAUGUGACUCUUGAUCUCAGAGUUGUGAGUUCGAGCCUCACAUUGGGUGUAGAGAUUACUUAAAAAUAAAAUCUU